CAUGGGUUCUAGUGGGGCAGGGAAAGAGCCUGCAUUUUCAAGCACCUGCCGUGUGCCAGGCACGUGCUUAGCUUUUGCUAUCCAUGAUCUCAUCUAGACUUCACUCCAACUCCUGCUCCCCGACCAAGAUGUGGAAACUGAGGCUCGGAAGUGCAGCUCCAGCCACGCCUGGAGCCAGCCUGAGAAUGGAGUGUGUUCAACUCCAGGGUCUGGGUACUUCACCUCCACAGUGAACUGCAGAGUGGACUCAGCUCAUCUCAUGGGGGCUCAGAUGAGGAAAUGAAACCCAGAGAGGACAAGUGACUUGGCCCACAUCCAGCAGGAAGUCAGUGGCAGAGCUAAGACCAGGUCUCCCGGCUCCCCGUGAAAUGUUUCUGGCCUUAGCAGCACAGUGUAGAGCCAGAGGUUCUGAAAUCACCUUCUAGAAACAGCCAUGCCCUCAGAUGAGAGCAGAAGCCUGAAAUAAGAAGAAGGGGGCCUGCAAGGGACCCUUUUCCUACUCUUGGUGUGAAAGUAGAUUCCCAGAUACAAUGUGGGAUGCCUAGUUAGAUUUCAGCUUUAGUGGCCAGGUACGGUGGCUCACGCCUAUAAUCCCA
rnacentral:lncRNA from 10 species